AUGAUGUGUCUGAUCCACUGGCUGGCACUAAUUGACUCCAGUUUAGCAGUGAUCCGCUCAUGCGUUCCACCCUCACCAGACCUGGACAAUUUCAGCAAGAUCCUUAGUCACGGCUGCCACAUCUCUGCUGUUAAAGACUCUGACACAAAAACCGAGAGCAAACAGAGAAGCCAGAAUGAAGUCUAUGUGCUACCUUAUGCCGACACAGGCACACAGAUAUACACCCACGCUUCAUUCUCACAAACCAUCCCGAACCCACACAUGUAUCACCUGCACAAACCACAUGAAUUCAGAACUUACACUUCUGGUUUGUUCCUUUCAUUGUGUUUGUGCAGUUACACAGCAGCAGAGCCUGCAACAAAAUGCAAGACCCGGAGCAGGAGCGCUACGAUAGUGGAGAGUAUUCAGAUAUCUUACCAUCACUUCUGCAGCUGGCGCAGGGAGCAUCCAGCCUCUCCUUCAGUAACACAACACUGCCUUUAGAGCUCUCUUUGUCAUUUAAAACUCUAACACAUUUGAUAUUGUGCUGUGGUGGUUGAUAGUAAAAAGUGAUAUCUGAAAUAGUUUGACUCUUAACCCUAAGGUUGUGGGUUCGAGUCUCAGGCCAGCAAUACCACAACUGAGGUGCCCUUGAGCAAGGCACCGAACCUCCAACUGCUCCCCGGGCACCGCAGCAUAAAUUGCUGCCCACUGCUUCAGGUGUGUGUUCACAGUGUGCGUGUGUUCACUGCUGUGUGUAUGCACUUUGGAUGGGUUAAAUGAAAAGCACGAAUUCUGAGUAUGGGUCACCAUACUUGGCUGUAUGUCACGUCACUUUCACUUUUACCACUAAAUCGGCAUCACCUGCUUCCAAAUGGAUCGGCAUUUAAUAGAUCACUGACAAGCUACGCAAUAUCGCGUUCAUUAUCUAUGCUCCCCAAAAGUUUCUAAGCUCCCCGUUCGUUAUCACUGCUCCCCAAAAAGAAAAUCCCUGCACGUCUGCAGCUUGCUAAAGAUCAUGUGGACAAGCCAGAGG
ensembl:lncRNA